rnacentral:piRNA from 1 species
UCAAAUCAGCUGAUCUAGGAGGCCACUG